UACAGAGGGUGCAAGCGUUAAUCGGAAUUACUGGGCGUAAAGCGUGUGUAGGUGGUUUUCUAAGUCAGGUGUGAAAUCCCUGGGCUCAACCUAGGAAUUGCAUUUGAUACUGGAAGACUCGAGUGUGUAGAGGAUGGUGGAAUUCCCGGUGUAGCGGUGAAAUGCGUAGAUAUCGGGAGGAACAUCAGUGGCGAAGGCGGCCAUCUGGACUAACACUGACACUGAGACACGAAAGCGUGGGGAGCAAACAGG
rnacentral:rRNA from 1 species